ensembl:lncRNA
AAGGGGAGAGCCUUGAAAGGACUUCUGAUAGAUUAUUUGGUCAUUGCGGCGCGGAGAGAAGAGCUUCCCACCAACCCCUUCCCUCGUGGGACCUCAGUGAACCAGGCCUGAGCGCCGCUGUGGGGGCAGAUGGGAGGGGGCUGAGCCCCAGGAGGAGGGUUCUCCCCCCGCAGUCCUCUACAACAAAUCCCAAGGACAGCUGAAGAUUGGAAUGAGAACAAAGAGAUUUUGACCCUCUCUCAAGUGAGGCUUGCAAAGCACACAAGGCUUGGCUCCCUCUCGCCUAAACGGCUUCACUUCUCUCUGAGAGGAGGAUGAAAUUGCUGGAGUUCAGAGGAUGCUAACGGCGUCGGGCCGACAGAAGGACGAGCCUAACCCGAGCACUGCCAAAUGACACCAACUCUUGGCUAAAAGCCUGCAGCCCACGAAGAGCAAACUAUCCACGUCUCAGACAUCCCGAGCAGCCAUUCCCAACAGCACCGAGUCACCCAGCUUCUCGUCCCACAGUCUGUGCACGCAGUGCUGCCCACAUUCCUGCCUCCAGCACACAGCCAUGCCUGCGCCUCCCCGGCUGCACCGAGGCACGAAGGAGAUGCGUGAACCCAACAUUUGGUGACCCCCAGAACUCAGUCAGAUACGGAGCUUCGGUCACAUACACCCGUGAGCACGUGAGGUCCCAAGCAGCUCCAGUGGGAUGCGGGGUCCAGGCAGGGCAGGGAAUGUCCCUCCACGAGGCAGUCCCUGCAGGUGCCCAGUCCUCAUCUGUCCAUGCCAACCAGCGGGCAGCGGCCACCACAAGGAAACACGGGCUCUGAGCACGGAGGGAUGGUGACAGCAGCAGGUGACAGCAGCAGGUGAAGGCAGAAGCCAUUGCGACGUCCGGAGAGCCGAGGUGGACACGUUGGCACUGCCAGGAAUCGCUUGCUUCCCCCACUUGGUUGGGGAUCGAGAGAAGUCACUAACGAUUUUUGGAUCCAAGUGAACUGGCAUGGCUACUACUGUAACAUAGGAGCG